GCCCUCCAUGGACCUUAAUCCAUGACUCAGAGUCUGGGGGUGAUUCGCAGGAUUCCGCCCCGGUCCCCCGGGGGGGGGGUCCUGCUUUGGGGGCCAGUGUUAGGGUGACCAGACAGCAAAUGUGAAAAAUCGGGAUGGGGGUGGGGGGUAAUAGGAGCCUAUAUAAGAAAAUCCCCAAAUUUCGGGACUGUCCCUAUAAAAUCAGGACAUCUAGUCACCCUAGUGUGCAGAACGGGGCUCAUCCAGAGGGCUCUGGUUUUUGCACAGAGAGGGAAGCUUGCUCCCUCUGUGUCUUGUUUAUCUUCCUGGGUCAGAUGCCACCUCCCCGUCCAUUGUGAGCCCGGAGCCUGGACUGAGCAGCUGCUGCCCCCCCAGUGGGGUCUGUGGAGGGAGAGACCCACAUUAACCCCCCUCUGUGCCCAGCCCAGGGGUGACUGGAACCAGCCCCCGGGCUCUGCCAACACCCGCCCCUGAGCCGGAGCCAGCAGUGGCGUGGGACGCAAGCAGAAAGUCUUCAGCUUCCAAACAACCCUGCCUGGUACACGUGUGUACUGAUGAAGCGGACUGUAGCUCACGAAAGCUUAUGCUCAAAUAAAUUGGCUAGUCUCUAAGGUG